rnacentral:rRNA from 1 species
UGGUGGGUAGUUUGACUGGGGCGGUCUCCUCCUAAAGAGUAACGGAGGAGCACGAAGGUUGGCUAAUCCUGGUCGGACAUCAGGAGGUUAGUGCAAUGGCAUAAGCCAGCUUGACUGCGAGCGUGACGGCGCGAGCAGGUGCGAAAGCAGGUCAUAGUGAUCCGGUGGUUCUGAAUGGAAGGGCCAUCGCUCAACGGAUAAAAGGUACUCCGGGGAUAACAGGCUGAUACCGCCCAAGAGUUCAUAUCGACGGCGGUGUUUGGCACCUCGAUGUCGGCUCAUCACAUCCUGGGGCUGAAGUAGGUCCCAAGGGUAUGGCUGUUCGCCAUUUAAAGUGGUACGCGAGCUGGGUUUAGAACGUCGUGAGACAGUUCGGUCCCUAUCUGCCGUGGGCGCUGGAGAACUGAGGGGGGCUGCUCCUAGUACGAGAGGACCGGAGUGGACGCAUCACUG